GCCAACCUAGUGCAGCGGUCUGAGUGUUGGACUAUGACUCCAGAGACCAGGGUUCAAAUCCCUGCUCAGCCA